GAUGAACGCUGGCGGCGUGCCUAACACAUGCAAGUCGUACGAGUAGCCCUAGAUUCGUCUGGGGUGAGCGUGGCAAACGGGUGAGUAACACGUAGGUGACCUACCCCAAAGUGGGGGACAACCACUGGAAACGGUGGCUAAUACCCCAUAGGCUGGGCUGAGCGAUCAGCCGAGUAAAGCUUUCGGGUGCUUUGGGAGGGGCCUGCGGCCCAUCAGGUAGUUGGUAGGGUAACGGCCUACCAAGCCGAUGACGGGUAGGGGGCGUGAGAGCGUGAUCCCCCACACUGGCACUGCGACACGGGCCAGACUCCUACGGGAGGCAG
rnacentral:rRNA from 1 species